AACGAACGCUGGCGGCAGGCCUAACACAUGCAAGUCGAGCGAGAUCUUCGGGUCUAGCGGCGGACGGGUGAGUAACGCGUGGGAAUAUGCCUCUUGGUACGGAAUAGCCUCGGGAAACUGGGAGUAAUACCGUAUGUGCCCUUUGGGGGAAAGAUUUAUCGCCAAGAGAUUAGCCCGCGUUGGAUUAGGUAGUUGGUGGGGUAAUGGCCUACCAAGCCGACGAUCCAUAGCUGGUUUGAGAGGAUGAUCAGCCACACUGGGACUGAGACACGGCCCAGACUCCUACGGGAGGCAGCAGUGGGGAAUCUUAGACAAUGGGGGCAACCCUGAUCUAGCCAUGCCGCGUGAGUGAUGAAGGCCUUAGGGUUGUAAAGCUCUUUCAGCUGGGAAGAUAAUGACGGUACCAGCAGAAGAAGCCACGGCUAACUCCGUG
rnacentral:rRNA from 1 species